GAUCCAUAGAAGCAUUAGAUAAGCGCGUGUAGUAACGGACAUAGUCUCACCGGAAACCCACAAACAUACAAAAGGUUGAUACUUAAAAACAAUAUGUCAAGGGUCUGAAUACUGAAGAAAUUUUAUGCGCCAUUAAAGGAGAUUUAUACAGAAAGUAAAUUAAAUUUUGCAACGUCGAAACUAAACACACACAAAAGGAAGCCUUUUAUGAAUCCUUUUUAUGUUUCUUCCUUUAAGAGAAGAGGCAAUAUCCUCGGCAAAUACCGGCAGUGUGCGGCGUGCAAAAGCAAUAUAGUGUCAACUUGGACGCCACUAGAAUACAUUUACGGAUCGACAAUUUCCUUAUCAUCUUCUAGUUUUGUACAGGAAAUUGCUUACAGUUUUCAAAUGCCUAUACGAUUGCUGCGAAUAUUGUGUGAGAGAAAAUUUAAAGAAAACAGUAAGGCACGGUAAAUGCAUGCCUUCGAAUAAAGAAAACAUAAUUUCUGGCCGUAGAAACUAGUGACAAAUGUACUGAACGUAGAAAAAAAGAUCAUUUUGAUGUUUAAAAUAUGGACCAAAUGUCGGCCCAAGAAAUAUCUACAUAUUUUGUAUGCUACAAACUUGUGGCCAAAAACUCCCUGAUUCUCGAUCCAGCUUAAACAAACUGUUUUCUGUCACCGAUGCAGAUAGAUUGCAUUGCAUAUAGAAGAAUUUGAUCUUUUGGUUUGGAGCAUACUAGCAUACUGGGUGUCCAUUUGAAAACUUCCCACCCUUAAUAUCUUUCUUGCAGUAAAAAAUAUGAAAAACCGGAAAGCCACAUCAAGUUUAUUUGUGAGGGGACACUUCAAUUGAAUAUUUUUAGCUUUCCUAUUUCAACCACCUAGGAGGGGUAGAUGUCACCCUUAGAACCUUAAAUGGGAAUGGGGGUCAAGUGGCACAUGGAUUUAAAAGGCGUUCAAUUCUCUAUUCAACGGUAUCCUACUUUGUUGCUUGUAGUCCAGAGCUUUUCGAAUAAUCGAAUAGAAUAAUGCAAAGUUGCAGAAAUAAUUAAACCUGCCUGCAUUGAGAUUUGGGUUUUCAGGUUAGUGUUUACUCAAAGUUAUUGUAUUGGGUCUCCUUAUAGUACAAAUUAUUAGAAGAGUAGGUUACACGAUUAAAAUAGUUGAAUAAGAGGACGAAAAUCGGGUUUAAACAAUUAAUUUAUUAUUUAUUGAUUACUGUAGCUUAAUAACUUUUUACACAACACAAACGUUUAAUAACAGCUAUCAAUAAAGUCGCGUAUGCCGAUGACAUCGUUCUGACUGCAAGUAAGUACUCACAAAGACCCGCAAAAAUCGUGGACAGAGUUACACCAAUCAAUAAACAUUAUGAUCUAUGCACAAAUAUAGGCAAAACAAAGAUGAUGAUAGUAUAUGAAGAAUCAAAUAGCAUCAGACGCCAGCUGACAAUAGAUCCCAACAUCAAUCUGUAUGAAAAUUCACACACGGGCAAGUGUCAGUAAGCAUCUUGGUACUUUAACUAGUAAAAGCAGUACUCGCAGAAAUGAAAUCCUAGCAAUAAUCGAAAUAAUCGAGAACAAGAAUAUUUCACCGGCGUGGAGUUUACUAAGGACCUCCUGAUGAAUGGGACUGAAACUGAACAAGUUUUGAUAAUAAUGAACAAAGAACUAGAAGAAACUCCAAAUAUGAAAUUCUCCUGCUAAUCAUAUGAUCAAAAAUCACAGGCCGUAGAAGUGUCGGUCGUAGAAUAGCAUCCUCCAGUUAAGCGUUGAGACCAAAAGAAAGGAGAUAACUAAUUGUUUUGUGACUGAUAAAAAUGCUCAAUA